CUCGGGAAUGUGCACUUUUUGCGCUUGUGGACAGAUUUGAGAAACGGCAGCUUCAAGGACGUGUCUAGGAAGAUGGCGCCCUGCGUUCAUGAGUUUCAGACGUGUUUUUGCAUGCCAGAGCGACUAAAUGCUCAUUAAGCGACAAGGCAUAUUGAUGAUGACUAUUCAUUUUAGCAUCACUUUUAGUGCUGGUUUACAGCAUAAGUCCAGUCCUGCAAAGCCGAACUUUCAAAAAGCUCUACUGCUUUUUUUUGUUUCCUUUUCUUUGCUCUGUUCCUUGAAAGGUGUAUUACGCCAUUUGAGAUUUUGGAAGUAGAUAAGGCUAGUGAUACUACAUAGGCCCAGUACAAAGUACACAAGUCGCACGUACAGCAACCUAUGCAUGCCUGUAAGAUUAGUCACACCGGUGAUGGAGCUUCUACGAUUUCCUAGUUUCGGAGCGAUGACCAUAUCAUGUAAAAGACUAUGAGAGCACAGUGCUGUCUAUUGCUCAGUAGAAUGUACAAGAGUUGCCUCCUCGGGAGAGUCAGAAGGUGGACUGCUCUCCAUGUUUACUAUAGCGCAGUGUCUGUACAACACUAGCCCUAGCCGCAAUUGGAGCCUUACUGAUAGUCUUAAACCAGUAGAAAAAAGAAAAAAGGCCGUGCCUACAUAUUUUUACAACACGGCGGCAGCAUUAGGGUGGGGAGAAGAGUCCCUGGGAAGCUCCUGCACAUAUCUCUCUACUUCUUAGCUUUCGCGCUGCAGGCAGGCAUGCCAAGGCACAGUACAAGGUGUGCCACGCAACUAAAUAGUUCAUUAUAGCUUAUUAGCCUUAGUGAGUGCAUUGCACUUUUACGCAUUUUUCCACAGCAUGCCGCCUUGAGGUACGUGCGCGUGGUAGUGUAAUCCUGGAGCAUUGCUAGUGUAGCACGCCUGCAGGAGUGUGUGAUAUCUUGUGGGUCGUACUUUGUUUUCUUCUUUUUUCUGGCACAUUAUACUUCUUGCAACUCAGUCCAUAGAUAGUCGAUGUUUAAGCAAGGACACACGUGUUCGCCGUACCACAUAUGCAGUGUUCAUUGCAUGCAUGUCAAUAGGUUGAAAUUAGUGUGUUCGGUGUACCUUCUCUGCACAUUUGCAGAAAACAGUUGGGGAUGGUUUGUUUCUUUCAGAAAUGAUUGAACUUUCUGUGUGUUCGUGUUCUCACUUUUUGUGUGGUAGAUGCUGCCUGCAUAAUUUGUACUGCAGUGUGUUUCUAUGUGUGAAGUGUUGUGUCGUCUCCUCUGAAAUGAAAGAUGUGGAAGCGAGGUCGAUGCCGCUGACCAUUUGGUGAUCUUUGUGGGAGUGAUUCAAGAAAUGGUAGCUGAAACGCAGAUGACGGGAAACUUGUUUAUUUCAUUGAUACAUAAUUGUCAAUUCCACGAUUGCUUUUAAUAUGUUUAAAUAUUUGAAAUGGCCUGACUCUGCUAGACAUGUUGAGCCCUGAAACUCUUCAUUGUGAGCUCAAAAUCUUGUCCUACUAAAGCGGUUUUUGAGGUUUAGCAGUAAAUUGCUUGUUACCGGAUGUUUGCCCAGAUUUUUUUGUGCCUGAUGAUGAUAUGAACGUUGACCAUAGCAUUCAUUUCAUAAUUUUUUUUUUCAGUAAUGGUCAGCAAAAUUUGUAAUUCCUGUAGUUGAAAAAUUAUUUUAAUUUGUUUUACCUUUGGCAGGUCACAGUGAAGCACCAGAAGUUUCUUUGUGUAAAUAUUGGGACAAGCGUUGUGAGAAAACAUUGCUGACCAGUGUUGUGUGGUACUGUGUGCAGAAAAAGUUGAGAUAUUUCGUUUGUUGUGCUAACGCCCCUUGUCCGCAAUGUGAAGUGCAAAUCCUGCAAAUGAUUCAUUGCACUCUGAGUAGUGGUCUUCGGCUUAAGUUGGGUUUCUAAAUCUUUUUCCAGUUUUGACUCUAACUAUCGCACUAACAAUGUGCCUCUUACCUGAGCUGUCCAGGUCACGCAUUUCAGCUUGAAAACAUAAGCAUUGUUCAUACGGCAGCAGUUUUUCUUUGUGAACAAGCCUACUUUACUGGUCAGAUUACAUUUGGAUUGAACGUAAAUAAGAUGCCAGUAGCAAUGACUUUGUGUUGCUUUUUGUUCAUUUGUUUGUCUACAGAAGUAAAAAUUUUCAGGCCUGGCUGUAUGCCACUCUUGCAACCGACUUGCAUCCCAUGUUGCGGUGCAGUUUUUGAGCGCUUGAAAGUGUUUUGUCAUGGGAAUGUGUACAGUAACUUACUUGAGUGACGUGUGAUAUACAAUAGUGAUCAGUCACUUUUGCGAUGCCCCACUUGUACUUUGCCUACUAGAAAUAUGCCAGUGGCCCACCCCCAUCACUUCCCUCCCGUUUUGCGGGUUCUCAGGUUGUCCUCCUCGUGUGCUUGUGUCAGACUAUUUUUGUCGCACACCAUCUGAUGGGCACUUAUUUAAUGAAUAAACCCUGAAUUACA
rnacentral:lncRNA from 1 species